AAUCAACGCUGGCGGCGUGCCUCAGACAUGCAAGUCGAACGAUUAAGACUCUCUUCGGAGAGUGUAUAAAGUGGCGCACGGGUGAGUAACACGUAAGUAAUCUACCUUUGAGUGGGGAAUAACGUUCGGAAACGGACGCUAAUACCGCAUAAUGCAGCGGCACCUAAUGGUGACAGUUGUUAAAGGAGCAAUCCGCUUAAAGAGGAGCUUGCGGCAGAUUAGCUAGUUGGUAAGGUAAUGGCUUACCAAGGCUACGAUCUGUAACCGGUCUAAGAGGACGGUCGGUCACACUGACACUGAAGUAACGGGUCAGACUCCGUACGGGAGGCAGCAGUAGGGAAUCUUGCGACAAGUGGGACGAAAGCCUAGACGCAGCAACCGCCGCGUGGAGGGAU
rnacentral:rRNA from 1 species